UCGGAAGGUGCGGCUGGAUCACCUCCUUUCUAAGGAGAAUUACCUACUGUUUAAUUUUGAGGGUUCGUUUUUACGAAUACUCAAAAUUAGCACUUUAAGCAACAGAAUAAACUGAACGCAUGUGAAGUUUGUUUGUUGGCGCUGUGCGUUAGCACUUUAAGCAACGGGAUUUAUCCGUUGGCGCCGUGCUUUAGCACUUUGAAAACUGCAUAUAUAUUUAGUGAUAUGACAUCUAAUUUGUAAUAUAUAAAGCUGAUAACUUUUUAAAAUUAUCGAAGUUGAUAGCUUCUAAUCUAUCAAACCUUUUUAACU
rnacentral:misc_RNA from 1 species